AUUUACACGUGAUCAGACCUAUUUCUGUUCCCCGCUGGCAUAUGAAGAGCCACUUGUGGGUGGCGGCCAUGGGAGCCUGAGCUGAAAGAGAAGACCCCACGUGUGUGGUGUGGAUGAAGUUCGUGGGCUCGCCGAUCAUGGAGCGGUCUAUUCGUCGCCUUCUCUUCUGCAAGUCGGAAACGGAAGACACAACAUCCGAUGACUUCAGAGAGUGAAGUUUCCUUUUUUUUUUAUUCUUAAGAAAUGUGUAACCUGAGGGAACACUGACAGGCUGGGGCUGUUCUGCGAUGCAGCAGCUGAAGCACACCCAAAACUCCGUCAUGCUCAAACUGCCUGCCCCGUCACUCCGCUGCCUCUUGAGCUCGCUGCACAGGUGCCGCACAAGUGGGUCCCACCAGUGUCACUAGUGGGGGAUGGGGUCCCCCAGACGUCUGCCACCCAACAACUGUCCCACCCUGAGACCAGUGACUGACAUACCAAUGAAUCCUGGAAACCUGUAAGACAGAAAAAAUGGACACCGUGCAUGGAGCCAGUUACCCGUUUAGUUACCUAUAGAUACAUGACACAAAUUCAGCAGAUAUGACCUACGUAACGUUUCUACACAUACCUUUUGUGACUUUGGGGUUAUAAAUAUUUACUCAGUUUUUACAAUAAGUACCGGUAUGUCUGUGUGACUGUUGCGAUUGGCCUCAUUCCACUGACAAGCACUUUGUCACUGCCAUUUUUCGAUAGGGAUUCCUAUUUCGGGUGUUAUAUCACCGCUAUGGGGUCAGCCCCCUGCAAGGAGUCCAUAGCGACGGGCUGACACACGAUUCGGGAUCACCGAAAAUGGAAAGGAACAUCUGCGCGUAGCAUGAGGGGCUAAUAGUGGACACAUACGUCAGUAGAGUCGGCCCAAUCUCCACGAAUGUGUGACGGCCUAUCGCCGUGGUGACAGCGGGUAAGAAUCUGACACUGCUCCACACUCCCACUCUCAAAAUUAGCUGACGCAGGUCCUGAGCUAAACAGAAUGAUUCGAUUAAAGAUAUUUUUAGUAAAA